GACGUAGGGGCCAGCGUUGUUCGGAAUUACUGGUGUAAAGGGUUCGUAGGCGGUGUGGCAAGUCGGGAGUGAAAUCUCUGGCUCAACUCAGAGACUGCUUCCGAAACUGCUGUGCUGGAGUGUGGGAGAGGCGCGUGGAAUUGCAGGUGUAGCGGUGAAAUGCGUAGAUAUCUGCAGGAACACCCGUGGCGAAAGCGGCGCGCUGGACCACUACUGACGCUGAGGAACGAAAGCGUGGGAGCGAACAGG
rnacentral:rRNA from 1 species